UACGUAGGGUGCAAGCGUUGUCCGGAAUUAUUGGGCGUAAAGAGCUCGUAGGCGGUUUGUCGCGUCUGCUGUGAAAACUCGGGGCUUAACCCCGGGCCUGCAGUGGGUACGGGCAGACUAGAGUGCGGUAGGGGAGACUGGAAUUCCUGGUGUAGCGGUGAAAUGCGUACGAUAUCAGGAGGAACACCGGUGGCGAAGGCGGGCUCCUGG
rnacentral:rRNA from 1 species